UCGGGAAUUUUGGGCAAUGGGCGAAAGCCUGACCCAGCAACGCCGCGUGAGGGAUGAAGUAUUUCGGUAUGUAAACCUCGAAAGAAUGGGAAGAAUAAAUGACGGUACCAUUUAUAAGCUCCGGCUAACUACGUGCCAGCAGCCGCGGUAAUACGUAGGGAGCAAGCGUUGUUCGGAUUUACUGGGCGUAAAGGGCGCGUAGGCGGCGCGGUAAGUCACUUGUGAAAUCUCUGAGCUUAACUCAGAACGGCCAAGUGAUACUGCUGUGCUAGAGUGCGGAAGAGGCAACCGGAAUUCUCGUUGUGUCGGUGAAAUGCGUAGAUAUCAAGAGGAACACCUGAGGCGAAGUCGGGUUGCUCGGCCGACACUGACGCUGCUGCUGGAAAGCCAGGGGAGCAAACG
rnacentral:rRNA from 1 species